rnacentral:rRNA from 1 species
CGGACAAUAGUACAAGGUGCUGCAUGGUGUCGUCAGCUCGUGCGUGAGGUGUCGGGUUAAGUCCCAUAACGAGCGCAACCCUAUCAUUAGUUGCCAUCAGGUCAAGCUGGGGACUCUAAUGAAACUGCCUACGCAAGUAGUGAGGAAGGUGGGGAUGACGUCAAAUCAGCACGGCCCUUACGUCCAGGGCUACACACGUGCUACAAUGGCCGGUACAAAGGGCAGCUACCUGGUGACAGGAUGCUAAUCUCAAAAGCCGGUCUCAGUUCGGAUCGGAGUCUGCAACCCGACUCCGUGAAGUUGGAUUCGCUAGUAAUCGCGCAUCAGCCAUGGCGCGGUGAAUACGUUCCCGGGCCUU